UACGUAGGGGGCAAGCGUUGUCCGGAUUUAUUGGGCGUAAAGAGCGUGUAGGCGGCCUGACAGGUCUGCUGUGAAAACUCGAGGCUCAACCUCGAGAUGUCGGCGGAAACCGUCUGGCUAGAGUCCGGAAGAGGAGAGUGGAAUUCCUGGUGUAGCGGUGAAAUGCGCAGAUAUCGUAAGGAAGACCAGUGGCGAAGGCGGGUCUCUGGACAGUUCCUGACGCUGAGGCACGAAGGCCAGGGGAGCAAACGGG
rnacentral:rRNA from 1 species